rnacentral:rRNA from 1 species
UACGGGGGGCAAGCGUUGUUCGGAAUUACUGGGCGUAAAGGGCUCGUAGGCGGCCAACUAAGUCAGACGUGAAAUCCCUCGGCUUAACCGGGGAACUGCGUCUGAUACUGGAUGGCUUGAGGUUGGGAGAGGGAUGCGGAAUUCCAGGUGUAGCGGUGAAAUGCGUAGAUAUCUGGAGGAACACCGGUGGCGAAGGCGGCAUCCUGGACCAAUUCUGACGCUGAGGAGCGAAAGCCAGGGAGCAAACGGG